CGCGGUCCGAGCAGCUUUGGAAAGAAAAUGAAAUACAACCACACACGCACGGGCUCGCCUCCUCUCCCUCUCGCCCACGAAGUCACCGCCGCCGCCGCCCACGCCGGCCGCUUCCGGCGAGCUACGGCGCCGCGCAGCACGGCCCCGAGCUCCCCAUGCUCCGCGCCUCCCUCCCCUCCGGCCAUAUUCUCAUCUCCCGGCCUCUACUGCCCGCUCGCAACCACACCCCCGUGGCUAGGGUUCCGGGCAGUGCUUCGCCGGCGCGUCUCCGGCGGCCCCAGAUGCAGAUGGAGCACGCCAUGAGAGUUCCCCAUCCACCAUGGUCGCCGUCGUCAAGGGCUUCUUCAAGGAAAUGUGAAGGACGCCAUGGACCUGCAGCUACUCAAGGUUUUAUUCCACCUUUCCUCUUAUAUCAAGUUCUAACAGUACAUUGGGGGAGUGGGGGCGGAGAAGGCACCCCACCUGAACUUUCAUUUCUCAAGCCUCAAGCGGCGACAGUACCUAGCAACACGAGGUCAGGGAGUGUUUUUUACUGGUUACGUCCAAAGUGGAGAGCUAAGAACAACAGCCUGAAGGAAACUAUACAGAGAGAGCUAGGAGGAUUGGUUUCCAGUCCAGGAGUGAGCUCCUGUCUUUUGAUUUGAAAUGAAACACCCACUGGGAGAGGUCUGUAGCUGCUGCUUUCGUGAGGCUGGUCAUGGAGGGGCGCAUGCCCUGAGGUGUGUGUGUGUUAGCUAUGACGAGAAAACAUAUGAAGUUUCUGCUAUUGUUAAGCCUGAUGUCGAAGAGUUGAAAUGAUUUGUGAAUCUCUGUGCACGUAAAUGGAACACUGGACAAGUUAAGCCAUGUGUAUUCCAUCUCCUUUAAUAUAUUGCUUGUGAUUGGCCUAAUAGAGAGUCUGCAAGACGUGAUUUCUAUUCAAAGCAUCUCAUCCAGAUCACUUUACAAUACUUUUCUUCAUAUCUAGAAAAUGCGUGUAUGCAUAUAAGUUUCGUGAACAAUUUUUUUGAAUAUCCAGGUCACUUUAUGCAUAUCCAGAUCACUUUACAAACAGAACAAAUGCGUGUAUUCCUUUUUCAUCAUAUCCAUAUCUAGAAAAGCAUUCCUCCAUGUAAUAGGGUUUUUGAAAGCAGUAUGCAUAUAUGUUUCGUGAACAAUUUUUUUUUGUUAUUGCAACCAUUAGAAAGAAUCUUACUGGAUUGUCCUGGAAAAUAUUAGUCUUCUAUUGCCGAUAACUAGAUCCGUGUUAACUCAAUAGGGUGAUCUAGCGAGUUAUCUUGAGACAAAAGGUCGCCUGCAAUCUUAUAAGGUGAUCAGAUUUGCCCUUGAGACUGCAAGGUAUGUUAGGAUUCAUGACAUAUGUAUCUUCUUUUCCUAUUUUUUCCUUUUAAAGCUGUAACUACCAUUUGAGAAUUGACUUAAACUGCUCGCAUUAGUGCAUCAUUUUGUAGUCACCUGAAAAUAAUGUAGCAUUGACUGAAACUGCUCACCAUUUGAAGUAUUGACUGAAACAUUAACUACCAUUGAAGUAUUUUCUUUAUUUUUUUGACUAGAAAAGCCUGAAGAUGAAUUAAGUUGAUUCAUGUAGAUGAAAUGGUUUUCCAUUUCCAUUUGUGUCGUUUCAGUGAAACAAAAUGAUAUUGCAGCUCUUUUCAUUUAUGUGUUGUUUUAGUGCAUUAUUAUCUUCCAUGAUUUGUUUUUCACUGAUACAUUUUGUUGCAUAUAUGGAGGCCAUCUGCUAUUCUGCUGAUAUUUCUUAUUAUAUCAUCUUGUUUGCGAACUUAAAAAGGUCCCUCAAAGAGAAGCGUUUUUCAUAUGCUCCUGAAUCUGGUGUGCGGUAUGAUGGAGUUUACAGAUUGAGAACUGUUGGAGGAAGACUGGUAUUCAGGUAAUUUUACUUUACUUCCUGUACAGAGGUUCCACAUGCUGCUCUCUACUUUGUUCCUGUACAAGGCCAUAGCUACUAUAAGGUGAUGAUAUGCUACAGUGUGCAGUUUGCUUUAUGUUCGUUUUGUUCAUUUGAUUGACCCUGAAAAAACUGAUUCCACCGCAUCUCUUUAUGACAGCAUGUUGUCCUUUGGUUUCACUUCCUGUAAUGUCUGUAAGGUUAGUUUUAAAGAGAUGUAUGAUUCUAUUCAGUUCUAAUUUUAGAAGAACAAACAAUUGUUAAAGAAUGCCCAUUACUACUGGUUCUGAUAUGUAGAGGGAUGGCAUUUGUUCAUUUGAUUGCUAAAGCCAACAUCUAAAUAGUGAAGGACGUAACUGAUAAAUCAUCACAACAAUUCCCGGCGCAGCAAAGCAUGCAUGUUCAUCUAGAUCCAAGCAGCUCUUUUCAGAUCAAUUAAGGAAUCAAUCUCACGAUGGUUUAUGCUUGAUGCAGCGGAGGGUCACAGAUUCACAGGUGUAAGGAUCAGUACAAUUGGGCCUCGCAUUAUUUUUUUCCAGAAUUGGGUGUGCGUACUCUCUAAACUGAAUUGAGUGAGCUAAAUCUGUGCAUCUAAAUUGUAGUCUGUAGCUUUAUGUGUUACGUCUUAAGGUUCAAAUUGAAGAUUGCCUUUGGGAGUAGUUUUAGUUGGUAGAAGUUUCAGGCUACAAAUACGCACACAUUAUGUGCUUAAUGUGUGGCAUAAACAUGAUCAGUUUUAUGUUUAGAAACCAAAUCACUGUCCACCCAUUUAUUUUUUCAUGAGUAUUUUGUGUUGAAAUCAGAUCACCGUUCACCUGUUCUGUGUAUUGUUGUCUUUAAUAUUUUUUUGCUGAUUCUCAAUAAAAUGCUCAGUUUCAGGAUGUGAUUUUCAGUUUUAGGCAUUUGGUACUUUCGGCAUCGAGAAAAAAAAUUGUUCCUCUGAGCGUGUGCCUUCAAAUGCAAAGUUCUGACUAUGAUUUCGCGUGCAACCAUAGCGCCGUUGGCCGCUCUGCCUACCGAGUGCCACCCCGCCGCCUCCUCCCACCCCCCACCUGGGACCUCACCGCCCGCUCCCCGCCCGACACACCCACAACGCUUGAGGCUGAGCAGACGCCAUUGGCCCGUGGGCACGGAAACAGAGUCCAGGAUGGUGAUGGUGCCAAGGAGGACUCUCAAACGUCGACCGAUUGCAUCGUUGCUGCCGUACCAAUGGAGUGGCGCUGCUCCAACCACUCUGAGAUGGCCGCACAACAUUUUCUUUAGCAAAGGUGUCUCUGUUGCUGAGAUUCUUACAGAUGGCUGGGAGUCGGCGCAAAGUACAUGGACACAUUGGUGCUAUAUUUUAAAAUUGUGAAACAGCAUCCAAGCUACUUGUGAAGGAGAUUAGAUCUUCAGAAGAAACUCCAAUGCAUCGAAGAUUAAAAGAAAAUCAUGAAGACUCACAUGCAUAUUGUUCACCAGACUCAUCAAUGGCAUCAUACGACUCAUAACACCACCGACUUGACCACAAAUCAGCCGCUGGUUGCAUGCCGUAGCACUAUCAGUUCCUUGUGGUGAUCGUGGUUACUUGAAGCUGACGAGGAUGGAUGAUGGUUGGUUUUGGUGGAGAGAUCAGGCCUGAUGAGUAUCAAAUGCCAUGAGAAAUUCAAAAAUUCCAUGGGAAGAAUGAAGACAGCUAGCAAGGUUGGGUUCUCCGAGGAAUGCCCAUCCGAGCUGGCUAUGGGGACGAUGACUCAAGGGAUGGACACGGCGAUCAUGCUUAACCAGUUGGGCAAUCCGAAGUGGAGUUGUAACUUGGUCGUGGAGAGACAGGCAGAGAUGAUUUUAGGGCGUCGCCUGGUUUGCCGGGGCGGCGCCCAGCCGGACCUUCUGGGGAUGACGCUAUGAUUUGGGGAGCAGCAGUGCGGCGAGGCUGGUUUCCCGCAUUCGGGCGUGAGGUUGAUGGAGGAGACUAGACUGAUGCGUGGCUGUUGACGCUCCCAUCCGGCAACACCGACCAAGCGGACGCGUCCCAGAUCAAUGGCUAUCCGGCAACACCGACCAACGGCGGAUGCGUCCCAGAUCAAUGCCAGAAAAAUCACAUCGUCGAUCGUAAGUGCUCCGGACUUCGCGCAGCUCCUGCUGUACUCCGUCGGUCACAUGUACCAUGAACAUGGAGUGUCGCAUGUAGUUUGUUGCUUUACAAAAGAAGAAGAUGCUUGAUGCCUUGUUUUGUUGACGACAUUUAUUAAUGACUUGCAGCAACAGUACGCUGCUUCAGUUAUUGGCCGGGAGCUACAACUACUUAUCAUAAAAUAUGCCAAAUACAAUGAUUUUAUUAUGUAGAAGUACAAAUAAAAAUAUUAUUAUGUAGUUUCAUGUUGAAGAAAUACAAUUAUUUUACUAUGUAGAAGUA